UGGAUGGUAGUGCACUGGGGGCCAGGG
rnacentral:piRNA from 1 species